rnacentral:rRNA from 1 species
GACGAACGCUGGCGGCGUGCCUAAUACAUGCAAGUAGAACGCUGAAGGAGGAGCUUGCUUCUCUGGAUGAGUUGCGAACGGGUGAGUAACGCGUAGGUAACCUGCCUGGUAGCGGGGGAUAACUAUUGGAAACGAUAGCUAAUACCGCAUAAUAGCAGUUGUUGCAUGACAACUGUUUGAAAGGUGCAAUUGCACCACUACCAGAUGGACCUGCGUUGUAUUAGCUAGUUGGUGGGGUAACGGCUCACCAAGGCGACGAUACAUAGCCGACCUGAGAGGGUGAUCGGCCACACUGGGACUGAGACACGGCCCAGACUCCUACGGGAGGCAGCAGUAGGGAAUCUUCGGCAAUGGACGGAAGUCUGACCGAGCAACGCCGCGUGAGUGAAGAAGGUUGUCGGAUCGUAAAGCUCUGUUGUAAGAGAAGAACGAGUGUGAGAGUGGAAAGUUCACACUGUGACGGUAUCUGACCAGAAAGGGACGGCUAACUACGUG